CAGAAAUCUUAAAUGAUGACAAUUUCUAAGCAGUGCCCCCAAAUGAAUGGCAUGUGGCCAUCAGAUGUACCUAUCUGUUCCCGUAAAAAAAAAAUAAAAUAAAUCGGGUAAGAGCAGAGCAGCAGAAAUACCCCUAAAUCACUCAGAGAAGAAAGCUGUUCCUCAGCCAAUAACAGAUCCACGUUUGAAACUCCUCACUUUACUCUCUAAUCCUUUCCACGUAUUUCCUUCUGAAACUUUACCACCUCUUAGAUGCUUUCUAACUCGCUUGUUCUGAGGAUUCUAAGGGGCGGGUAGGGUAAAAGCAGCCAGCUGUUACAGUUCCCUGAUUGCACGUCGUCCCCAGGAGAUCUACUUACCUAGUGCCAGGUCUCACGGGGAAGUGAAUGCAGACCCAUAUUCCCUGGCCCGGGAGAGGGCAGGCAGCCAAUGCUAGAGCCGGGGUGCUCCUCGGCCUCUCCCCCGCUCCUCCUCUCCUCCAGGCCUGGCCUUCAAAGCCUUGUGCCUCCCCAACACGGAGACACUCCCUCGUCUCCCUCUCUGGCUCCCUCCCGUGUCAGCAGCCCUUGGUUCAGAGAAAACUCAGCAGAGUCCUGAGACAGACUAAAAGCAGGGACUAAAAGCAGGGACUAAAAGCAGGGAACACGACACAAGCAUCACCACCUACUUUGUGUUUGUAUCAAGCAUCGAUGGACCUGGGCGAUGCGAGGUUGGUGUACCCAUGAGUAUUGGUUAGAGACGGUUCUGGUCGCUUAGCCACCCAGCGUUCAUGACCAGGGCUCGGCCUUGGAGCCUCCCCGUCAUGAAAACUGACACAGCAGAUAUUUAGAAAAGUCAGCAUUGGUCUAAGAUGUCAUUGGCUUUCAGUUUCGAUGAUGUUUUAAGAACCUAUUUUUCCUAACAAGAUUUCUUUGAAAAUUAGGAAUAUCUGGCUCAGUACCGUGCACUAAUUCCAUCAGGCUCCUCUCAGAACAGAAACCCGACUGGCGGCACAUUUGCUUACUUGCUGUCUGAUUGCCGAGAAUCCUUGUUGAGUCCGGGGUGUGAGGCCGCUCGCCUCGUGCCCCCACUGAGCAGAGCCUGAUCUUUCCUUUGGUGACUUAAAGUAUCAGCCAGCCUCAUCUUCCCUCUGACGUCUCUUAAAGUAUCUGAAGAGAGACCCCAGUUUCUACUCCACACCAGCUCACUUCACACGAGACAUCUUACAGACCUCAAAGCUGUUAGUCGCACAAACUUCCUCUUUUGCAGAAGCUUAAGAAACGGUCCAAGAAGUCUUGUGAAAAUGCUUAAAAUGCAAAAACACACUAGGAUAAAUCAAAAGAGGAUAAAGAGGAUCAGAACUCUUUGUGGGUCUGCUGUAGAGAUCAAAACCACACAACCAGUUGAGCUGGUAGUGGUGGGUGGGCCACAGGAAUUGAAAGAGGCUGGUUUCUGAGAUAAGAGGUACCUUCUCACGGAAUGGUGCAGUCUGGGCUUCUGCAGGGGAUGCUCUCACAUCUCCCAGGUUCUGAUUUGGGUACAGUCCUCAAGAACAGCACCACCCUGUAGUGCUAUUCACCUUGACUUCAGAGGUUAAACCCAAUGCAGAGAUGGAGCUCAAAUCCUGUAAAAAGGAGUCUAGAAUACCAUUUUUAAAUAAAGAAGGGCAGAGGCAUUUCAUAGUCUGUGGAUCUAUAGGACCCAGAACUUUGGGGUUCAUUGGACUCUCACCCCAUUACACAUGACUUGUGCCAUCUUUGCUUGGCCUCAGACAAACGUAUCCAUGUGGUGCCAUGGAAGCAUUGCCUGAUUGGCAGGCCACCUUCUCUUCCCAUGGGGCAGUCAGAUCCAGUUCCAGGCAUCUGUACAUCUUAUUUCUGCUUCAAAAACCCACAGCAGCCACAUAGGUCACCUUGACUCUUGCUUCAUAUGCCUUUCUGCUAUGGACUGAACAUUUGUGUCCUCUCAAAAUUCAUGUGUUGAAAGCUAUCUCACAAAAGGAUGGUCUUACAAGAUGUAGACUUUGGGCAGUGAUAAGGUCACGAUCUUGAAGCCCCCACGAAGGGAUUAAUGUUCUUAAAAAGAGACCCCAGAGAGCCUACUCAUCCUCCCAUCAUGUGAGGACACAGCGAGAAGAUGCCAUGUAUGAACCAGGAAAGCCUCACCAGACAUGGAAUUUGCUGGCACUUGAUCUUGGACUUCUAGUCUGCAGACAGUAAGUAAUAAAUGUAUGUUGUUUAUAAGCCACCAAGUCUGUGGAAUUUUGCUCUAGCAGCCCAAAGAACAAUGACAAUUUCUAUCUGGAUGUUUCUGAUACUGGAUUCCAUCUACAGAACAUGAUUAACUGUUCAUUCUUCUUCAGGGACACAAAUUUACUGUCACAUGGGUUAAAAAUGGAUUCUUUCUCUGUAUAUCGAGAGCACUUGAAAGAUACUUUAUUAAUUGCCUUGCACCAUAUACUGAAAUGAACUGUUUAUAUGUAAUUUUACCCCAAUAAACAGUGAAGUUUUAGGAAUUCAUGUGUUUAUGUUUUA